UGUUACUUUUAUCAUCACUGUGGCCCAAAAUCUGACAAGAUGCAACUUCGAAGAGGAAGGUUUGAUUUUGGCUUUCAACAUGAGGGUGCAGUCCACCAUGGUGGGAAAGGCACCGCCCACUGCAUGGAAAGGCAGGCACAAGUAGCCCGGGUGAGGUUGCAGCAGAUGCAAGGACAUCCACAGCAGAAGAUGAUGGCCAACAGUGACAGAAAUGGCGAUGAUUCUGGAAGUCUGGACUAGAAAAGAUGACCCCCAAAGUGAACCUGAGUUGAAAUACUUCAAGCGCACAAAGAGCACAGU